rnacentral:tRNA from 3 species
CAAAAGGUAGUUUAAUAAAAAUAUUAACUUUGGAAGUUAAAGAUGUUAAUAACUCUUUUGA